AUUUUAUUGACAUGCACUUACUGGACUGGAAACACGAAAAUGUUUUAACCAGCAGUAAAUUAUUUUCCACAGUUUUAACUUGCUUGCAUGAAAGAUGGCAUCCUGUAAACCACUCGUAGUUUUCAUAAUAGCUUCUAUAUUGGUAUGUGCCCAAACACAGACAGCAGCAAUCCGAGUAUUUCCGAAAAGAGCCAAUGGCAGCUUUGGCCGACCCGUGCAAAAACAGCAGGUGAACCCGUUCAUGAGAUUAAUGAUGAUGCAGUAUCUACUGAAUGGAGAAUUCGAAAUGUCGGAUAUGAUGAAAAUGAUGAUGUUGUCAAGAAGUUUUCAAGGAUAACAGUGAACUGCUAAUUGUUUCAGUUGCAUUUGACCCCACAUAUCACUUCACUUAUUUAUAUUCCUUGUUAAUAAGUAUUAUAAAAUUGUUGUUAUUUAUUACCCGUGUAAUCAUCAGUAAAGAAUUCCUCUUGCUACGUUCAUUUAAUACUAUUAUAUAAUUAUUAGAACAUGUGGAUAUAUAUUUAAAUUAAUAGAAUAUGUUGU